ACGAACGCUGGCGGCGUGGAUAAGACAUGCAAGUCGAACGAGAGAAUUGCUAGCUUGCUAAUAAUUCUCUAGUGGCGCACGGGUGAGUAACACGUGAGUAACCUGCCCCCGAGAGCGGGAUAGCCCUGGGAAACUGGGAUUAAUACCGCAUAGUAUCGAAAGAUUAAAGCAGCAAUGCGCUUGGGGAUGGGCUCGCGGCCUAUUAGUUAGUUGGUGAGGUAACGGCUCACCAAGGCGAUGACGGGUAGCCGGUCUGAGAGGAUGUCCGGCCACACUGGAACUGAGACACGGUCCAGACACCUACGGGUGGCAGCAGUCGAGAAUCAUUCACAAUGGGGGAAACCCUGAUGGUGCGACGCCGCGUGGGGGAAUGAAGGUCUUCGGAUUGUAAACCCCUGUCAUGUGGGAGCAAAUUAAAAAGAUAGUACCACAAGAGGAAGAGACGGCUAACUCUGUGCCAGCAGCCGCGGUAAUACAGAGGUCUCAAGCGUUGUUCGGAAUCACUGGGCGUAAAGCGUGCGUAGGCUGUUUCGUAAGUCGUGUGUGAAAGGCGCGGGCUCAACCCGCGGACGGCACAUGAUACUGCGAGACUAGAGUAAUGGAGGGGGAACCGGAAUUCUCGGUGUAGCAGUGAAAUGCGUAGAUAUCGAGAGGAACACUCGUGGCGAAGGCGGGUUCCUGGACAUUAACUGACGCUGAGGCACGAAGGCCAGGGGAGCGAAAGGGAUUAGAUACCCCUGUAGUCCUGGCAGUAAACGGUGCACGCUUGGUGUGCGGGGAAUCGACCCCCUGCGUGCCGGAGCUAACGCGUUAAGCGUGCCGCCUGGGGAGUACGGUCGCAAGAUUAAAACUCAAAGAAAUUGACGGGGACCCGCACAAGCGGUGGAGUAUGUGGCUUAAUUCGAUGCAACGCGAAGAACCUUACCUGGGCUUGACAUGUAAUGAACAACAUGUGAAAGCAUGCGACUCUUCGGAGGCGUUACACAGGUGCUGCAUGGCCGUCGUCAGCUCGUGUCGUGAGAUGUUUGGUUAAGUCCAGCAACGAGCGCAACCCCUGUUGCCAGUUACCAGCACGUGAAGGUGGGGACUCUGGCGAGACUGCCCAGAUCAACUGGGAGGAAGGUGGGGACGACGUCAGGUCAGUAUGGCCCUUAUGCCCAGGGCUGCACACGUACUACAAUGCCCUGUACAGAGGGGGCCGAAGCCGCGAGGCGGAGGAAAUCCUAAAAACUGGGCCCAGUUCGGACUGUAGGCUGCAACCCGCCUACACGAAGCCGGAAUCGCUAGUAAUGGCGCAUCAGCUACGGCGCCGUGAAUACGUUCCCGGGUCUUGUACACACCGCCCGUCACAUCAUGGAAGCCGGUCGCACCCGAAGUAUCUGAAGCCAACCGCAAGGAGGCAGGGUCCUAAGGUGAGACUGGUAACUGGGAUG
rnacentral:rRNA from 1 species